rnacentral:lncRNA from 1 species
GUCAGUUAGUUGUCCUGAAGUCAGAUGUAAGUUUUUUUAUAUCAGUGCCACAUUCUGUGUAAACAUCUCUGUCUUGUGAUGAAUUGCUAUAGCUGUUAAGAGAACACAUAAGUGGGAAAUAGAAGAGAAUAUAAAUCAUGGCAAAUAACAAGGACCCUAGGAAUGUCCUGUUUUGAUGGCUCCUCAAUUUUUAUCUUUUAUGUUGUUUGUCCUUGAAGAGUCAUGGCAAGAGCAUCCUGGCCCAGAGAUACACCAGGUCUUUGAAGCUGAUAAGGCUGUUCUUAGGGAGGUGGGCAAGGCACAUAAAAGCAUUUAAUAGCUAACAAUCUAUGAAUUAAGGUAGGAGAGCAUAGGAAUAAACUUAUUGUCUUUUAAUGUCUGUCAAGUCAUGAGUUAUGGUGCUCUCUGUCUGAGUAUUAAGAGUUAGUCUUGGGAUAGAAUUUAGUCAUUAGGGUGGAACCCUCAGAAAUGGGAUUUGUGCCUUUAUUUAAAAAGGCCCAUGGGAGUGUUAUAGAUUGGAUAUGAAGUAUCCUCCAAAAAGCUUAUGUGUUAGAAACAUGAUAUCCAACACAGCAAUGGUCAGAGGUGAAUAUUUAGAUUAUGAGAGCCAUAAACUGAUCAAAGUAAUGGAUUGCUGGGUAGUAACUGUGGACAGAUGGGGUCUUGCUGAAGGAAGUAGAUCACUGGGGGUGUACACUUUGGGAUAUUUUGUCUGUAAUUUCUUAUGUGUUCCCCACCCUGGUCUCUCUUUCCCUCUCUCUGUUUCCUGGCGGCCAUAAACUGAGCAGCUUUCCUCCUCCAUCAUGAUGUUCUUUCUCACCUUGGGCCUAGAACAAUGGAGUUGGCUGACCAUGGACCAAACUCCGGAAAUCAUGAACCCUAAAUAAACUUGUUCUCUAAGUUGUUCUUGUCAGGUAUUUUGAUUAGCACAGGGAGCUUAACCCCUCCUACCAUGUAAAGAUGUGGCAAGA